rnacentral:rRNA from 1 species
AUUGAACGCUGGCGGCAUGCCUUACACAUGCAAGUCGAACGGUAACAGGUCUUCGGAUGCUGACGAGUGGCGAACGGGUGAGUAAUACAUCGGAACGUGCCCGAGAGUGGGGGAUAACGGAGCGAAAGCUUUGCUAAUACCGCAUACGAUCUUCGGAUGAAAGCAGGGGACCGCAAGGCCUUGCGCUCAUGGAGCGGCCGAUGGCAGAUUAGGGAGUUGGUGGGGUAAAGGCUCACCAAGCCAACGAUCUGUAGCUGGUCUGGGAGGACGACCAGCCACACUGGGACUUAGACACGGCGCAGACUCCUACGGGAGGAAGCAGUGGGGAAUUUUGGACAAUGGGCGCAAGCCUGAUCCAGCAAUGCCGCGGGCAGGAAGAAGGCCUUCGGGUUGUAAACUGCUUUUGUACGGAACGAAACGGUCCUGGUUAAUACCUGGGGCUAAUGACGGUACCGUAAGAAUAAGCACCGGCUAACUACGUGCCAGCCGCCGCCGUAAGAC